GAAGGGUUUGUAUCCCUCCCAGGCUAUCCACAUCAGCUGACAGGUCACAUAUUCAAAUGCUAUACGCGCGACACCUGUCCCAGACGACUGAAACUCACCGUUUCAUUUAUUCCUCUUCUGAUGGGCUUUUUAAUUCACGUUUUAUGGCACGUUUUCUAUAUGCUUAAAGGGCCUGAAUAGAAAAUGUAUUGGGCCUUGCAUCUCUAAACCUAAAGUUGUCUCUCUUAUGGUCUCGAAGUCAAGGUUCUCACCGUCGUCCUAAUCAUGGUCAUGCUACCGCCAUGGAUUCACAGUCGUGUUCUGUUAGUCGAUUGAGUACCAGCGUACCCUAAUUGAACGCAAACCGGUAUUUUAUUGAAUUCUCUCUACUGCCGUCAGAAAAAUUUGGAUACGUUACAGCAAGUCGGUUGAAUUCACGCCAUCAUUAACAACAACUUUCCACUUCUCAACACGAUCUGUCAUUGAAUGCAUCCCCAUUACUUCUAUUGCGUGAAUCUUCAAGUAUAAAUAGGUAACUCUUUCAUCAGUUCAAUCCAAUCCUCUCAGAAGCAUGCUAUCUAGAUCCGCUCUAUAUCCACAAAGAAGCCGCACAGCUUACUUCGUAGUCACCAACUCGCACCUACUCAGCCUCCCACAGUUUGAUUUCUCUUCAGCUCUGCGGUUAAAUUUAGCAAAUGUCAUAUGACAAGCGGAUAGCACGGUUUCUCAGCUUAAAGCUAUUUCAGAGCAACUUGCUUCAGCAAAGCAUUUGGAGGUUCUUCAGGUGUCUCUACCUGCAAAUGUCCAAACUGAAAUCGAGCAGAUUGGAGAGAUACUGAAUUCUUCUAUAGCUCCAAUGACAUAAGAGACGUUCUCAAUUCCGUGUAAGAACAACCCAUCUGUUACGAAUCCUUAUGUUAAAUCUUGAAAACAGUGUAACAGGUCAUCUUCUUUAUUGCAGAAGGGUGGCGCUUAUCACAGUUUCAAUCCUUAUGCUUACCUCUUUACAAUUCUUGGUCUCGGUAAGUCACAAAUCUGCAUCUUUUGUAAUGUUUUAAGGUUUUGAAAGAUGAGCUUCUGUAUAUCUCCUGCAAUCUUCCACUACAUGUUUCUCAACUGUAUGUAUAACUCAUGAUCUUAUCUAAUCAUCUACUCUUGCAGUUUCUUCAAUUUUUGGGAUACAUCUCAUUGUCUACACGAACAAUAACCCUGGAAUGUUCUUUUUGUACUUUUUAUAAGUAAGAACUAUUUGAAUCUUUUCCUCUUCCGCAGCCGUAUGAUUCUUGGAUGGUGUUGGUGACUGAUGAUUCUGGUACAUUCAUCUUGAGCAGAGCAUUCCUUCUGUUACAAAAAUAUGUCUCAUGAUUCUUCAUGAAUUUCUUCUUUAUCGUUCAAAUUUGUUAAUGUGUUUGGUUGAGCAUUAGUGAAACUGCAGGCAGAUGUAUAGCUGAGAAAAUAACUGAAGUGCUUAUAAAUUUGGAAACAUGACCAUGCAUCCUCUGCACACGUGACCUGCAAGCCUUUUAAAAUAUGUUAACAGAUCACUUCUUCUCUAAUUCAAAUUGUGCUUACAAAAAAAUUCACCAGUAUUAUAUACAGUAAAUCAGUUUAGUGGGAUACAAAAAAAAUUCCACCAGUUUCAGAUUUUCUAUUUUGAAAUAAUUUUAGUUAAAAUGAAUAAGUUAUUUCUUUUGCA